UUAGGUUAAGUUAUGAAGGGCGCAUGGUGGAUGCCUUGGUACUAGGAGCCGAUGAAGGACGGGACUAACACCGAUAUGCUUCGGGGAGCUGUACGUAAGCUUUGAUCC
rnacentral:rRNA from 1 species